rnacentral:rRNA from 1 species
CAGUCGCCGCGGUAAAACCAGCAGCCCAAGUGGUGGUCGCGAUUAUUGGGCCUAAAGCGCUCGUAGCCGGGCCGGUAAGUCCCUUGUGAAAUCGGACGGCCUAACCGUUCGGCGUGCAAGGGAUACUGUCGGUCUUGAGGCCGGGAGACGUCCGAGGUACUCCGGGGGUAGCGGUGAAAUGUUCUGAUCCUCGGGGGACCACCGGUGGCGAAGGCGUUCGACGAGAACGGGCCUGACGGUGAGGGGCGAAGGCUAGGGGAGCAAACGGGAUUAGAUACCCCAGUAGUCCCUGUCUCUUAUA